CUACAGAGACAGAAAGUGGAUUAUUGGUUGCUAAGGAAAGACUAGGGUAGUUGGGAGUAACCCAACUGACUGUUAAAAGGCUUUUCACUGAAAAGAAUGCCAAAUGCCUCUCGAAGUAAUAAAGAGACUGAACUAAUCUAAAAUUCUGUUUGAAACUCUCAAGUCACUUGGAACCAAUAUAUGUUAUCAUUAUCCCAUUCCAGUCUAUCCUCAUUCCUGUCCAUCCUCAAUUACCAAUAGACCAAAAAUUAUCAUCUUGUAUUGAAGCUUGAACAGUUAAGAAGGAAAAGGGUUAUAUCACAAGCGGCUUACAAUAAAUACUGUAUCUUGUCUACUUUUGAGGCUAAGGAUCAGCUUCCAUAAUGACUUACUGGAAUACUGUUUGGGAAAGAAAUGCAACCUGUGAGAAAUUGGAACUCCAGCAACAUCCACGCUGAUCUUACUGCUCUAGAAAACUGAUUGGAAAACUCAGGAUACUGAUAAAGGCCACUGUCCAGGUAACAUUGAUGUGUGGCAUUUCCUUCUCAACACCCAGUUUCUGGCAUCACUGGAACAGAAAUAAUCAUGGAGACACCCACAUCAGCUCCUCAGCAGCU